UACAGAGGUCCCAAGCGUUGUUCGGAUUCACUGGGCGUAAAGGGUGCGUAGGUGGUGAGGUAAGUCGGAUGUGAAAGCUCCGAGCUCAACUCGGAAAUGGCAUUGGAAACUACCUUGCUCGAGGGUUUGAGGGGGGACUGGAAUACUUGGUGUAACAGUGAAAUGCGUAGAUAUCAAGUAGAACACCAGUGGCGAAGGCGAGUCCCUGGAAAACUCCUGACACUGAGGCACGAAAGCUAGGGGAGCGAAUGGG
rnacentral:rRNA from 1 species